rnacentral:tRNA from 1 species
AGUUAAUAAAUUUAUAAAUUUAUAUUUUGAAAAUAUAAAAUAGAAAAUAAAAUUUUCUAUUAACUU